UCUUAAUAAUAAUUAAUUAACGGGGCGAGGCUGAAUAUCCUGAUACACACAAACGAAAAAUAGUUAACCCUUUUGCAUUUUGUGAACACUGAAAAUAUGCUUCUUCUUCCAAGUAGCCGUACAAUUUUAAUGAACUGUCAGUAUAUUUUUGCACAAACGCGUCGGUUAACGGUUCGAUAAAAUGAAAUAGGGAAAAUUAUUUUACGCUAAAUAUUUAAAAGCAAAUCUUGUGAAUUUUGUGAAAAGAAAUCGCAAAACAUGUUUAUUUGUUUGUAAUUAGUAAAAAAAGUAAAAUAGUGUGGUAUGAUCUAAGUUAUUUAAGCGGCUUGCAAAGCGCUUGUAGUAAAAGGAUGCCAGUGCUUAAGGCGCGCGGUUAUUUGCUGCUAUAUUCCGUUUUCAAGCACAUAUGUAUUUCUGAAUACGCAGUGGCAUAUGGUGCAUGUGAGAGUAGUUUUCGCAAAUGUGAUUUCAAUAUUGCUAAACUACAAUAUCUUUUUGUGCAAUACAGUUUGUUUGAAAAAUAAAAAUACUAGCCUAGUAGUGCUAGUUUUGCUAACCAAAGACUUCUUCUCAGUUCCUAUGACUCUUUACUGUCUAUGUCGAAACUAUACACUCAUCAUCACAGGUGGUCAAUAUAAGUAGCAAAAGAAUGUGGUACAUUUGAAAAUGCAGCCAUAUAUAAACAUAUAUAUUUUUCUAUGAUUUGUUGGCACAGCUAAUAGUUUCUAAGUGCAUUACAUAUUUCAUCUUUGAUGGCCCUUGACUGAGGAUUUUUGUGCGAAAAAUAUGAAUUUUGAAGAUACUUUUUGCGUUUUUC